rnacentral:lncRNA from 1 species
UCAGUCUGCCGGUUCAGUCCAGUAUUUGUUGAGGGUAGAUGCCUUCCAGCCGACCUUGUGGUUCUAGACUUGACGGAUUUUGAUGUCAUUCUAGGGAUGGAUUGACUAUCUACUCAUGGUGCUACCUUGGAUUGCAGAGACAAGGUAGUCAGGUUCAGAGAUCAGGAUGGGUCAGUGGUUAUCUUCAGGGGAGAUAGGAGGG